CCGCCAAAGCAAUGUCGGUGACCUCUCAGCAUGGACGGUCACUUAGCUCCGAUCUUCUCGACUGAUCACAUCCUCUUUUACAUUUAUGGUCGAAUCAGAGAGAGAGAGAAGCAGUUAAUACGACUCUGGGUGCUCCACUCUUUGGCCAUACGACUCUGGGUGCUCCACGCUUUGGCCAUACGACUCCUGACGCCCUACAAUUAUCAGCAAAAGACCGAGUACAACUAAUUCAAAUUACCUGUCAACCAUAUAUUUAAUUGUUGUAAAUAUUCCUGAAUAUACAUAUGUGUGUUA